rnacentral:other from 1 species
CGGGUACUGCCUCGUACGAGCUACUAACAUCCCUGAGGCGAUUACUGAUCCUAGGGGGCUGACCCUGUCCGGGCCCUGGCCCGGGUUAUUUGGUCCCCACCUGACGUUUGUGGCGUCAGAGGAUAUUAAGGCAAACGGCCAUGGUGGUCCCGUC